rnacentral:rRNA from 1 species
AGCAGCCGCGGUAAUUCCAGCUCCAAUAGCGUAUAUUAAAGUUGUUGCAGUUAAAAAGCUCGUAGUUGAAUUUCGGGAUCAAUACGUCGGUCGUGCUUUCGGGUACGUACUGGCGUCAUUGGUUUCUCCUUUUUGACGAACCAUGAUGUCAUUUAAUUUGGUGUUAGUGGGGAGUUAGGACUGUUACUUUAGAAAAAUUAGAGUGUUUAAAGCAAGCUAACGCUUGAAUACAUUAGCAUGGAAUAAUGAAAUAGGACGUUCGAUCCUAUUUUGUUGGUUUCUAGGAUUGACGUAAUGAUUAAUAGGGAUAGUUGGGGGCAUUAGUAUUCAAUUGUCAGAGGUGAAAUUCUUGGAUUUAUUGAAGACUAACUACUGCGAAAGCAUUUGCCAAGGAUGUUUUCAUUAAUCAAGAACGAAAGUUAGGGGAUCGAAGACGAUCAGAUACCGUCGUAGUCUUAACCAUAAACUAUGCCGACUAGGGGUCGGAUGAUGUUAAUUUUUUAAUGACUUCAUUCGCGCC